rnacentral:rRNA from 1 species
GACGAACGCUGGCGGCGUGCUUAACACAUGCAAGUCGAGCGGAGCGGCGAACGGGUGAGUAACGCGUGAGUAACUGCCCCCCUCUCUGGGAUAACAGUUGGAAACGGAUGCUAAUACCGGAUAGUGGGGGAUGACUCGCGGCCUAUCAGCUUGUUGGUGGGGUAGUGGCCUACCAAGGCGAAGACGGGUAGCCGGCCUGAGAGGGCGACCGGCCACAUUGGGCUGAGAUACGGCCCAAACUCGUACGGGAGGCAGCGGGGGGGAGUAUUGUACAAUGGGGGAAACCCUGAUGCAGAGACGCCGCGGGCGGAAUGACGGCCUACGGGUGGUAAACGGCUUUCAGCCAUGACGCGGUAGUGGCAGAAGAAGCACCGGCUAACUACGUGCCAGCAGCCGCGGUAAUUC